rnacentral:rRNA from 1 species
UCGUCAGCUCGUGUCGUGAGAUGUUGGGUUAAGUCCCGCAACGAGCGCAACCCUUGUUACUAGUUGCCAGCAUUGAGUUGGGCACUCUAGUGAGACUGCCGGUGACAAACCGGAGGAAGGUGGGGACGACGUCAGAUCAUCAUGCCCCUUAUGACCUGGGCUACACACGUGCUACAAUGGACGGUACAACGAGUCGCAAACUCGCGAGAGUAAGCUAAUCUCUUAAGGCCGUUCUCAGUUCGGACUGUAGGCUGCAACUCGCCUACACGAAGUCGGAAUCGCUAGUAAUCGCGGAUCAGCAUGCCGCGGUGAAUACGUUCCCGGGCCUUGUACACACCGCCCGUCACACCAUGGGAGUUUGUAACGCCCAAGGUCGGUGGCCUAACCUUUAUGGAGGGAGCCGCCUAAGGCGGGACAGAUGACUGGGGUGAAGUCGUAACAAGGUAACCGUA